rnacentral:rRNA from 1 species
GGGCCCGCACAAGCGGUGGAGCAUGUGGUUUAAUUCGAUGAUACGCGAGGAACCUUACCAGGGCUUAAAUGGGAGAUGACAGGGGCAGAGACGCCCUUUUCUUCGGACAUCUUUCAAGGUGCUGCAUGGUUGUCGUCAGCUCGUGCCGUGAGGUGUCAGGUUAAGUCCUAUAACGAGCGCAACCCCUACCGUUAGUUGCCAGCGAUUCAAGUCGGGGACUCUAACGGGACUGCCGGUGCAAACCGUGAGGAAGGCGGGGACGACGUCAAGUCAUCAUGGCCCUUACGGGUAGGGCUACACACGUGCUACAAUGGGCGAUACAGAGGGAAGCGAAGGGGUGACCUGGAGCCAAUCUUAUAAAGUUGCUCGUAGUCCGGAUUGGAGUCUGCAACUCGACUCCAUG